GUACUGCUGAAGAGUCCCAAACGAAACAGCUGUCCAGUAC
rnacentral:hammerhead_ribozyme from 1 species